UCAUUCAUAUCCGUGGCAUAAUUCAUAUAACACUUAAGAACAUAACACACUAUCAGUAGAAGUGUGUUUGCAGACUAACUCAGUUGUAGUUCAAUCAAUAAGUAACAAUCUACAUUAACCCUGUUAGCAUAACAACACAAUCCUCUUCAAUUUAACAAACUAACAACUAACCAAUUUAACAUAAAUAAGCAAAUUAACUUCAUCAC
rnacentral:lncRNA from 1 species